rnacentral:tRNA from 1 species
GGCGGGGUAAUGUAGUUGGCGAACAGACCGGCCUUGUAAGCCGGCAAUGAGGGUUCAAUUCCCUCCUCCGCACCCA